rnacentral:rRNA from 1 species
CCAAGGAGUCUAACAUGUGCGCGAGUCAAUGGGAUUGCUUUGGCUAAACCCACGGGCGAAAUGAAAGUGAGGUUCCUCUCAAAGGGGAUGUAGCGGGAUCCGUCGGGAGUCUGCGGACCCCGCGGCGCACCGCCGGCCCGUCUCGACCGCAUCGCCGGUGAGGCGGAGCACGAGCGUACACGUUGGGACCCGAAAGAUGGUGAACUAUGCCUGGGCAGGACGAAGCCAGAGGAAACUCUGGUGGAGGUCCGUAGCGAUUCUGACGUGCAAAUCGAUCGUCGGACCUGGGUAUAGGGGCGAAAGACUAAUCGAACCGUCUA